rnacentral:siRNA from 1 species
ACCGGGACGUGGCGGUUGACGGCA